rnacentral:sRNA from 1 species
CUGCUAUGGUGGACUGUGAGACUCAGUGCACUGUCCUCCUCCCAGCGACCCCACGCUGGACCCCCUGCCGGACCCUCCACCCUUCGGCCCCCAAGCUUCCCAGGGGCUUCCUUUGGACUGGCCUGUCCCUGCUCAUCCAUUCUCCUGCCACCCCCAGACCUCCUCAGCUCCAGGAGUCUGACAGCACCCUUCUCGUUGGCCAGGCAUAACCGGAGGAGACCAGACUGUGCCAUCGCAAUGCACCCGGAUGGUUUUGCACAUGGCCCUGGUGGGGGACAUAGGGGUGGGGCUGAGGAGGAGGCGAGACUCACGGGACAGGCCUGCGUCUGGUCCAGGAUGUCCAGGGUGCCGAGACUUUCACUAUCACAGGUAAGGCCCUGGCAGCCUCCCUGCCCUCCACCUGUGUUGCUUCCUCACAGUAAAUGCCCUGGACUUGCUUUCAGCAUUGUACAGCCUCUUGCUUUUCCCCAUAUCACCUCCUACAAGGCCUGCUGUGGCUGCUGCAGGCCACCCUGAGGGGUGCCUGCUUCUUCCCCACCCUGACUUUCCGAAGGCGCAGUGGAAGGUGAUGGUCCUGUGAGUAAGGCCCUGAAGUCUGCAGUAAGCCACUUUCCCUCAAUGCUGUCUCCCUUUCCGAAGGGAAAGCCACAGCCCUGGCUAAUGUUGGAGGAAGGGGAGGCCUGGACAGCUGCCUGAACCCAAGCUGGGCUCUGGGGGGCAGCAGGGCCAACAGACAUGGGAUGUGAGCCACACUGAUAAUUUCAGUCUUCUAGUACAUGUUAGGAGGUGAUACGGUUUGGAUGUGUGUCCCCACCCAAAUCUCAUAUGGAAUUGUAAUUCCCAGUGUUGGAGGUGGGGCCAGCUGGGAGG